rnacentral:rRNA from 1 species
CCUACGGGUGGCAGCAGUUAAGAAUCUUGCACAAUGGGGGCAACCCUGAUGCAGCGACGCCGCGUGAAUGAUGAAGGCCUUCGGGUUGUAAAGUUCCGUAAGCAGGGAAGAAUAAGCAACGGGAAAUAUUCGUUGUGAUGACGGUACCUGCCUAAAGCCCCGGCUAACUACGUGCCAGCAGCCGCGGUAAUACGUAUGGGGCGAGCGUUGUUCGGAAUUAUUGGGCUAGAAGGGCGAUUAAGUUAGAGGUGAAAGCCACGGGCUCAACCCGUGAACUGCAUCUAAGACUGGUUCUCUUGAGUUCGGGAGAGGAGAGCGGAAUUCCAGGUGUAGCGGUGAAAUGCGUAGAUAUCUGGAAGAACACCAGUGGCGAAGGCGGCUCUCUGGCCUAGAACUGACGCUGAAGCGCGAAAGCGUGGGGAGCGAACAGGAUUAGAUACCCCAGUAGUC